rnacentral:rRNA from 1 species
UACGGGGGGGGCUAGCGUUGUUCGGAAUUACUGGGCGUAAAGCGCUCGUAGGCGGCCAACUAAGUCGGACGUGAAAUCCCUCGGCUCAACCGAGGAAUUGCGUCCGAUACUGGAUGGCUCGAAUCCGGGAGAGGGAUGUGGAAUUCCAGGUGUAGCGGUGAAAUGCGUAGAUAUCUGGAGGAACACCGGUGGCGAAGGCGGCAUCCUGGACCGGUAUUGACGCUGAGGAGCGAAAGCCAGGGGAGCAAAC